rnacentral:lncRNA from 10 species
UGCUCUCGAAGGCGUCCUCCACGCAGCGGAACACGCAGCCAAGCUUGGGCCGGGCCAGAGGCCUCGCGGGCUCCUGAGGCUGCCGCGCGGUCACGGCAGGAGCGGGCGACAGAAUCCGGUCUCGGAGCCUCCUGUAGCGAGCCACAGGAGGGAGCCUCCCAGGUGGUCGACCGGAGCCAGGUGCUGCCAGGCACCCGACUGCAGAGCUUGCCCUCCAGGUGAUCUCGCAGUAUCGGUGUUCACAAGCCCUGUAAGGCACUCGGGGUAUCCUGAAGGCUACAGAUUCUGCAAGGGCAGAGACUUUAAGGAACAGCCAUAGUCCUUCUCCAGCUCAAAAUCUGGACCAUGGGCACAAGGUAAACAACACACUGGUGUCAACAAAGGAAUCUGCUAUUUAUGUGGAUUUUUACUUUAGACAAACUAAAGUAUCUAUGUUGUUCUGUGUGUUGAACACAGAGUGUGAUGAUGUUAAUAUAAUGGUUGUCCCGGAACCAUCGAUCUCUAGAAGGUACAGGAGGAAGGGGACCUGCCAGUCCAGCCCUCAUAUUUUACAGAGGGAAAAGGUGAAGCCCCAUGUAAAACAGGGAUUUCCCUCGGUGACACUUCCAGGCUGAGAAGGGCCGGGGAUCUGGACACCUACCCAGAAACACUCCCACCCUGUCAAUGCCUCUCUGAAUUAUGUGAUCAACUGCCUGGAGUAUGAACUAGGCACAUGCAAAUAGAGAACAGAGGUCUUGUUGAAAAUAUGAUGCUGAAUUUUAAAAACUCACUCCCCAAAUUAAAGGAACAAGACCAGAG